AUACGUAGGGGGCGAGCGUUGUCCGGAAUGAUUGGGCGUAAAGGGCGCGUAGGCGGCUUUGCAAGUCAGUAGUGGAAGUCCAUUUUUCAAGGAUGGAAGUGCUACAGAAACUGCGGAGCUUGAGUGCAGGAGAGGUUAUCGGAAUUCCCGGAGUAGCGGUGAAAUGCGUAGAGAUCGGGAGGAACACCAGUGGCGAAGGCGGGUAACUGGACUGCAACUGACGCUGAGGCGCGAAAGUGUGGGGAGCAAACAGGAUUAGAUACCCUGGUAGUCCACACUGUAAACGAUGAAUGCUAGGUGUAGGAGGUAUCGACCCCUUCUGUGCCGCAGUAAACACAGUAAGCAUUCCGCCUGGGGAGUACGGCCGCAAGGUUGAAACUCAAAGGAAUUGACGGGG
rnacentral:rRNA from 1 species